UGCCAGCCGCCGCGGUAAUACGAAGGGGGCUAGCGUUGUUCGGAAUUACUGGGCGUAAAGGGCGCGCAGGCGGUCUUGUCCGUCAGGUGUGAAAGCUCGGGGCUCAACCCCGGAAGUGCACUUGAAACAGCAAGACUUGAAUACGGUAGAGGAGAGAGGAAUUCCUGGUGUAGAGGUGAAAUUCAUAGAUAUUCGGAGGAACACCAGUGGCGAAGGCGGCUCACUGGCUCGAUACUGACGCUGAGGUGCGAAAGCGUGGGGAGCAAACAGGAUUAGAUA
rnacentral:rRNA from 1 species